rnacentral:lncRNA from 1 species
UUUCCCUUCGGCCAGCAGAAACACAACAAUCACUCUCACAUGCAACAAAACAAAUUCAACUUAUCCGAAUUCAUGCCUUUCAUUCUCGAUCUCGUGAUUCAUCAACGACGGCUCUUCCUCUCUCGGUGACGGCUUGAUGAGGAUACAAUGACGACGCUGGAUAGGGUCGUGGGUCAUGGAUUGGGGGAAAAACCUCAUCCCUGAUUCCCUUCCCUUCCCUCCCCAUCCUUGAUUCUCCCCCCUAGGCCCCCUCCACCUGAUCCCUCCCCCCAUCCCUGAUUCCUUUCCCUUCGGCACAACAGUCACAACAGAAUCACAACACUCACUCUCACAUGCAAAACACAGAUUCACCUUUCCCCAUUUAUGCCUUUCAUUCUCGAUCUCCCGAUUCAUCAACGAUGGCUCUUCCUCUUUCGAUGACGGCUCGACGAGGAUACAACGACGGUGCUGGAUAGGGUCGUGGGUCAUGGAUUGGGUGACAACCCUAUCCAGUCACUCGCCUCCUCCAUCCCUGAUUCCCUUCCCUUCCCUCCCCAUCCUUGAUUCUCCCCCCUAGGCCCCCUCCACCUGAUCCCUCCCCCCAUCCCUGAUUCCUUUCCCUUCGGCAAGCAAAGCACAUCAGAAAUACAACACUCACUCUCACAUGCAAAAACACAGAUUCACCUUAUCCCCAUUCAUGCCUUUCAUUCUCGAUCUCGCGAUUCAUCAACGAUGAGGAUACAAUGACGGCGCUGGAAAUCAGCAACAGAUUCGAGAGGAGGCUGCAACAGAGAUCGUUAGGGCGAUGGCUCGGCGAGGCCUUCGAGGCUCCGAAGCUAGAUUUGAGAGAAGGCUCAAAUUUGAGAAGAUGGAUUAGAGAUUCAAAUCUGGUGCAGUUGGGUCAGAGUCGGUCAGAGUCAAUCGAAGUCUGUUUAUAAGGUUAACUGACUAGUCGGUCGUUUAAUAAUCGAUUUUGUAACCGAUUGAUCAGUUUUCGGUCGGCUAUUUAACAAUUGGAUACGGUCAGUCGGUUAAACAUGUUAACCGAUUUUAAACUCUUAAUCAUUUUCCCCGACCUUUAACCGAUUUUUAAUAACCGGUUUAACUGAUUCCUAGGCCUACAAACACUUGAUAGCACGGUUUCUUGUUCAAGCAAUGUUUGAUUCUAGACUUGUGGUCUAACACACUUUACCCUUUUGACUAAUUUUAAGGGUUUAUCAAUCUUUCUAUUAGUGUUAGAUGGAGAGUUUUAAUUAACUUUUAUUUUAAUGGUUGAUUGGUUCUUUAUAACCC